rnacentral:tRNA from 1 species
GGAGAGUUGGCAGAGUGGUUGAAUGCGGCGGUCUUGAAAACCGUUAUACCGAAAGGUAUCAGGGGUUCGAAUCCCUUACUCUCCGCCA